rnacentral:rRNA from 1 species
CAGCAGCCACGGGAAUACAGAGGGUGCGAGCGUUAAUCGGAUUUACUGGGCGUAAAGCGUGCGUAGGCGGCUUCUUAAGUCGGAUGUGAAAUCCCUGAGCUUAACUUAGGAAUUGCAUUCGAUACUGGGAAGCUAGAGUAUGGGAGAGGAUGGUAGAAUUCCAGGUGUAGCGGUGAAAUGCGUAGAGAUGUGGAGGAAUACCGAUGGCGAAGGCAGCCCCCUGGCCAAUACUGACGCUCAUGCACGAAAGCGUGGGGAGCAAACAGGAUUAGAUACCCCCGUAGUCCCUGUCUCUUAUACC